UGGGGAAUAUUGGACAAUGGGGGCAACCCUGAUCCAGCCAUGCCGCGUGAGUGAUGAAGGCCUUCGGGUUGUAAAGCUCUUUUGGCGGGGACGAUGAUGACGGUACCCGCAGAAUAAGCCCCGGCUAACUUCGUGCCAGCAGCCGCGGUAAGACGAAGGGGGCUAGCGUUGUUCGGAAUUACUGGGCGUAAAGCGCGUGUAGGCGGGUCGUUAAGUUGGGGGUGAAAUCCCGAGGCUCAACCUCGGAACUGCCUUCAAAACUGGCGACCUGGACCUAAGUAGAGGCAAGUGGAAUUGCGAGUGUAGAGGUGAAAUUCGUAGAUAUUCGCAGGAACACCAGUGGCGAAGGCGACUUGCUGGACUUAUGGUGACGCUGAGACGCGAAAGCGUGGGGAGCAAACAGGAUUAGAUACCCAAGUAGUCCCUGAGCGGGCUGGCAAGGCGCAU
rnacentral:rRNA from 1 species